rnacentral:rRNA from 1 species
AGUGAACGCUGGCGGUAGGCCUAACACAUGCAAGUCGAACGGCAGCACAGGAGAGCUUGCUCUCUGGGUGGCGAGUGGCGGACGGGUGAGGAAUACAUCGGAAUCUACUCUGUCGUGGGGGAUAACGUAGGGAAACUUACGCUAAUACCGCAUACGACCUACGGGUGAAAGCAGGGGACCUUCGGGCCUUGCGCGAUUGAAUGAGCCGAUGCCGGAUUAGCUAGUUGGCGGGGUAAAGGCCCACCAAGGCGACGAUCCGUAGCUGGUCUGAGAGGAUGAGCGGCCACACGGGAACUGAGACACGGUCCAGACUCCUACGGGAGGCAGCAGUGGGGAAUAUUGGACGAUGGGCGCAAGCCUGAUCCAGCCAUACCGCGUGGGUGAAGAAGGCCUUCGGGAUGUAAAGCCCUUUUGUUGGGAAAGAAAUCCAGCUGGCUAAUACCCGGUUGGGAUGACGGUACCCAAAGAAUAAGCACCGGCUAACUUCGUGCCAGCAGCCGCGGUAA